CAGGAUGAACGCUGGCGGCGUGCUUAACACAUGCAUGUCGAACGAUGAAGGAGGAGCUUGCUCCUCUGGAUUAGUGGCGAACGGGUGAGUAACACGUGAGCAAUCUGCCCCUGACUCUGGGAUAAGCGCUGGAAACGGCGUCUAAUACCGGAUACGAGCCGAGCAGGCAUCUGCAGCGGCUGGAAAGAACUUCGGUCAGGGAUGAGCUCGCGGCCUAUCAGCUAGUUGGUGAGGUAAUGGCUCACCAAGGCGACGACGGGUAGCCGGCCUGAGAGGGUGACCGGCCACACUGGGACUGAGACACGGCCCAGACUCCUACGGGAGGCAGCAGUGGGGAAUAUUGCACAAUGGGCGCAAGCCUGAAUGCAGCAACGCCGCGUGAGGGACGAAGGCCUUCGGGUUGUAAACCUCUUUUAGCAGGGAAGAAGCGAAAGUGACGGUACCUGCAGAAAAAGCACCGGCUAACUACGUGCCAGCCGCCGC
rnacentral:rRNA from 1 species